UACGGGGGGGGCAAGCGUUGUUCGGAAUUACUGGGCGUAAAGGGCUCGUAGGCGGCCAACUAAGUCAAACGUGAAAUCCCUCGGCUUAACCGGGGAACUGCGUCUGAUACUGGAUGGCUUGAGUUUGGGAGAGGGACGUGGAAUUCCAGGUGUAGCGGUGAAAUGCGCAGAUAUCGGGAGGAACACCUAUGGCGAAGGCAGCUCGCUGGGACGUUACUGACGCUGAGACGCGAAAGCGUGGGGAGCAAACAGG
rnacentral:rRNA from 1 species